CUGGAUGCCUGUCAAUCGGUUAGAAAAGAUUGAAAUUUGUUCAGCGUUUUUAAGUUUAGCGUCACUUUUGCACGAGACUUGCUGUUCAGAAGACGUGGCUGGGUAAUAGCAAAUUGCAGAUCAUGGAAGCAGAGGACCUGAACAACAGGAGUGACAAUAUGAGCGAUUGAUGGCCUGGUGAUGUACUACCUUCAAAACUUAAUGUAAUGUCUGUUUCUGUUUUUUCGAAGAGUGAGGUAAAAUCUCAAUUAUAAAACAGUUAAAUUUGCUUGACAAAAAUUACAGAUAACAAUUAAACAAAAUCAAAAGCAAUAAAAUUAAAACAAUGAAAUAAAAUCAACCUAAAACUAUACUACAAAAAACUGUU